UAAAGUUAGUUGUUGGCAGAAAUAUUCUAUAAGUCUAUAUAUCGUUAUAUAAGACUAAAAGAUUAUUAGCAGGAGUCUACGUUAGAUGAUUUGAGCAGGCAUUUGUAAUUGCUUAGGUAAAGAUUAAUAUAUUCAACCCAUUUAAUUUUUUUUAUUGAUCUAAUAAGUAUUUCUGCUGCUAUAGGGUUACACCAGCGGUUCAAUUCUACUGUCGUAAUGGAGCGUUGUAAAUGACAGAUAACAGAGAGUAAUGUGAACUGGUGAUUGUUUACGCGCUUAUUUUAUGAAAUUAGUGUGUUUUAAAUCAAAUCUGAAAUGAUUGGCCCAUCAAUUUGUAAUGAGAUAAUUAUUAGACGACUGGUGCAUAAGAAGCUGAUUAACUUUGGUCGUUUCGGUUUGUUAAUUAUGAACAUAACCUCGAAGUAAUCUUGUUAUCAUGAAAGUACUUAUAACUACUGAUAUUCUUUAAAUGAGAAGUUGGUAUCAAAAUUGAAGUCAUACCUUUGAGAAUGUUUCAUGUACUGUUCCUGUAGUGGAUUACAUAGUAGGGGUUUCAAGAAAUACCUAAUGGUCAGUUCAAUUUUCAGUGCGGUCUUUUGCCCAUUCACAAUGUAGUUGGAUAGAUAUGGUUUAUUCCAAGCAGGAAUACUUAUUUUGUGACUAGGAAGGAAUUGUGGAUAUCUUCCAAGAUAGGACUUCGGAUCAUACUCGAAAAGUGUCAUUGUGUUACUGCAGAUUUCACUUCACAUCUAUACUCCAUGUGAAAUAGCUUUUAAUUCAUAUUAUUAGGUCCUUUGCAAGAGUUUGGAUGCAGUAUGAAUAUAAUUCUAUUCCUAAUACUAUGUGGAAGCGCAGUGCAACAUAGUCGAAAUAGACAAGACAUGAAAUAGAAAUGUUAUGAAAACUCACCUCUAAUACUCACAAGCAACUCACGAAAACCCAACCGUACUUCAGGACUGAGGUUAAACUGUAAGCACAUGCGGAGCAACAUCUAGGUUCAGCAUGCACAAUGGUUUUAAUAGAGACUUUUCUCUGGGACCAAGCAACUUACUAAAUUAACUAAUUUUAUAGCACAAUGUGAGCAAUGUCAUAAUUACAAGAAUUAAAGGAAUAUACGGUUUCAACUUUAUUUGCCUAAAUAAAAGAAAAACGAAUUAGAAAGGAUAAAAAUGAGAAGGUAUUGGAAAAAGUAGGAGAACAAAAAGAGUUAUGAAAGUCAAUAAGGAAAAAGAGAGAUAGAAUGGUAGGGCGCUUUUUAGGGGGUAGUUAGAGACAUACUACAAGCAGACCAGCAGACUGAUGACCCUAAAUGAUGGUAACAGAAGAAAUUUGUAUUUCUUACAUUUAUUCCUAGGAUAAGUAAUAUUUGUUGAAUUUAUAGUGUAUACUUAGUAAUAAGAACUACAUUUUUUUAAACAAAAACGGUUGUAACUGAAGAUGUUGUCUAAUAAUUGUAAUGUAGGAAAUGUAGGCAUUUUGUAUCCUAUUUUAAUGUUUAAAUAAA